GAAAAAAAGUUGUUUAAUGCAAAGCCAUUAGAGAGUUUCCUGCAUUAUUUGAAGAUCAGUGGUGAACUAUGUGUUUAGGAAGUCUGUAAGGCGCUAAUGUGAUCGAUAGAGUUACACAGGUCUUUAUUAAAUAUGGAAGGAAGCAUGACAGAGGAAAACAAGAAGAAUCUUGAGUUUAUUGAAGAGGUGACUAGUAAUGUUGAUGAGGUACAAAAGAGAGUUCUUCAUGAAAUCCUCACUCGAAAUGCCAACGUUGAGUACUUGCAACGCCUUAAUCUCAAUGGUCACACUGAUAGAGAGACAUUCAAGAAAGUCGUGCCUAUCAUCACCUACAAAGAUAUUCAGUCCGAUAUCAACCGUAUAGCUAAUGGCGAUAGAUCUCCAAUCCUAUGUUCCCAGCCCAUAUCUGAAUUCUUUACAAGUUCUGGGACGUCGGGAGGGGAGAGAAAAUUGAUACCAACAACAGAGGAAGAGAACGGGAGGAGACAUCAACUUUACGGCCUUAUGAUGUCUGUGGUGUGCCAAUUUUUUCCAGAUUUGAGAAAUGGCAAAGGAAUGUAUUUCAUGUUCAUAAAGUCUGAAGCCAAGACCCCCGGAGGAUUAUUAGCUCGUCCUCUUUUAACUAGUGUCUACAAGAGUAGUCAUUUCAAAAACAGCAAUAGUCGUGUGUCGCCCUAUACGAGUCCAAUUGAAUCCAUUCUCUGCCUAGACUCUUACCAAAGCAUGUACUCCCAAAUGCUUUGUGGCCUCUACCAAAACAGAGAAGUCGUCCGUGUUGGCUCUAUUUUUGCAUCCGCCUUCAUCCGUGCUAUGCGAUUCUUAGAGGAUCACUGGUCUCUACUAUGUAACGAUAUCCGAACAGGAACCAUUAACAACAAAAUUUCUGAUCCUUCAGUAAGAGAGGCUGUGAUGAAAAUCCUCAAACCAGACUCGGAGUUGGCUGAUUUCAUCGAGGCUGAAUGCAGCAAGGAUUCAUGGGAAGGGAUCGUCACUAGGCUGUGGCCUAAUACCAUGUACGUGGACGUAGUCGUGACUGGAGCCAUGUCUCAAUAUAUACCAAUGCUCGAUUAUUACUGCAAUAGCCUCCCUCUCGUCAGUAUUGCGUAUGCUUCCUCAGAAUGUUUCUUUGGGAUCAACUUGAACCCCCUUUGUAAGCCCAGUGAAGUAUCUUACACACUCAUUCCCAUCGCAGCCUAUUUCGAGUUCUUACCAAUUCUCAGGAGCAAUGAAGUCAUCGAUUCUAUCUCCAUUCACACACCGUUUAAUGAGAAAGACGAACAACAAUUGGUCGAUUUGGUUGAUGUCAAGAUUGGCCAGGAGUACGAGCUCGUUGUUACCACAUAUUCUGGACUGUAUAGAUACAGAGUGGGUGAUGUGCUUCGGGUUGCUGGAUACAAGAACAACGCGCCUCAAUUCAACUUUAUACGCAGGGAAAAUGUGAUCUUGAGCAUCGAUUCUGAUAAGACUAAUGAAUUUGAUCUACAAAAUGCAGUGAAGAAUGCAGAAAACAAUCUGAUGCCAUUUGAUGCACGUGUAAUCGACUACACCAGCUAUGCCAAUACUGCUACUAUUCCAGGUCAUUAUGUCCUGUUCUGGGAGCUAAACGUCAGCGCCUCUUCCCCGAUUCCUCCUUCGGUCCUUGAAGAGUGUUGCCUCACCAUUGAAGAAUCUCUCAACAGCGUCUACCGCCAGGGUCGUACGUCUGACAAAUCCAUUGGGCCUCUUGAAAUCAGGAUAGUGGAAACAGGUACUUUUGACAAGCUCAUGGACUAUUGCUGUACUAGCUUACUAGGUGCUUCCAUUAACCAAUACAAGACGCCACGGUGCGUUAAAUUUGCACCACAUGUUGAGCUAUUGAAUUCGAGGGUUGUGUCGAGCUACUUCAGUCCCGUGUGUCCGAAAUGGGUUCCUGGAAGAAAGCAAUGGAACAACACGAAUUGAACUAUCCGUGGAUACUUACCGUACAUGCAGUUACAGUGGCAGAGGCAGAAUUUUCACCAACAGGGUUACGCUCGAUAUAUAAUAUACCUAAAUAAAAGUUUGAUUGUUGUGUUGAGCUACUUCGGUCCGUGUGUCCGAAAUGGGUUCCUAGAAGCAUGCAAUGGAACAAAAUCAUGAAUUGAAGUGUUGAUGGAAACUAAAUGGUUGUUACAUAUCGUUUCAUAAUCUAUCAUAUUGUGUUGUUUUGGUGAAUUCAAUGUCGGCAUAGAUUGUAUUGUUUACGUCGUUAAAGAAUGUCACACAUGAUAUAUCAUAUUGUGUUGUUUUGGUGAAAU